rnacentral:lncRNA from 1 species
AUGGAUUUACAGUAGGCUGCUUGAUAAGUUAUGCUCCAUUUUGUCAUGGGCGCGAAAAUUCAGAAAAAGAAACAGGUCUUGAUCGCCCUAUUUUGUGCGCGAAAAAUACAUAAACAAGGAGGAGAAAAUGGCCCUCCGCAGCGGCGAACAGCAGCCACAGCAUGGCAAAAGCCGCCUGCAACUACAGUAGUGGAUAGCAGAAACAACAAAGGGGAGCUCGUUUCUUUAAUGUGACACACAUCUGGCCAUGUGCGAUGGAAUCUCGGCACCGCUUCUGCUUUGCUCAACUCCUAACGACCCGCUAAUACUACUUUUUGAUUAUGUUCCAUGCCCAACAGAAAGGCAAAAGAACACAACAGCUCAAAAGGCACCCAAAGUAGCACAGUCCAGCCACGAACCCACAGUUUACAAAUAGUUUAACCUGACUGCGGCAGCACUUGUUUUUACUCCUCAACUUUUCCACACAUAGCAGAUGGUGAAAGUAUUUCAGAUGAACUUUUGCACACAUAGCAGAUGGUGAAAGUAUUUCAGAUGAAUGCAGCUCUUGCAUUCUAGUCAGGUCACCUCUCGUUCUUCAUCUGUUUCACACAAUCUCCAAAAUUUCACCGGAAAAAAUUGCACAAGCUGAUGGAGGAGGAGCGGAGGAGGAUUAACCAGCACAAGUUUAACCCUCAUAGUUAAGGAACAGGAACCAAUCAAGAGCACUGUACACAUACAUCUACUACGAGUAGCAUUUAGCAGCAGGUGAUCAAAACCCAACCUUAUAAUUAGUAAAGUGAUUAACCAUCACCGACGGCGCCAUCAUCUACUAGACCACUAGCGGUAACUCAGUAGACCUCCUCGGGGAUGCUCUGGAGGUCGGGCUCCCACUCCCCGCUCGCCUGCAUCCGCCUCGUCUCCUCCGCCGCCCUGCGCAUGCUGCGCCGCCGGAGCGACUGCAGCCUCUGCUCGGCGUCCGUGCCGCCGCCCGCCGCGCGCUGGCGGCUGCGGCGAUCAGCAGACGCCGCAGCGGCCGCCACCUCGCCGCCGGUGCCGAGGGCGGCCACCAUCUUCUUGAGCUCGCGCUUGCUGACCACGAUCUUGACGCGCACCGCGCCGCCCACCUCCUCCCGGGACAGGACGCGCCCCCCGUGGUGCAGGUGCUCGAGCGCCUCCGCGGCCGCCUUGGACUGGUGCCGCCCGGCCACCGCGUCCCUGGGGAAGAAGCACCUGGUUGCCAUCGAUCUCGCCGCGACGCGAUGCGAUCGUUGGCCGCCGCCGCCGCCGCCCGCAAGCAAACGAGCCCCGGUGCGGUGUCUGUCCGCCGGCGGGCAAGCAGUGGUAGCGCUCAGUCCUUGCUCCUCCGACGUUCCUUGCAAGCCACAGCAGAAAGGCUAAAGCAAUGGCAAAGUGAAUGUGCGGGCUGUCGAGUAAUGCGACAUGCUAACAUGCUUAUAUACUGGUUGGGCCGCAUUAGGGGCCUUGCCUUUUGGUGAGCCGCGCAGCCCCAACUGUCUCCGAACACACCACCCCAGGUCCCUGACCGGUGGGCCAGCGCCCAGGGGGGGCCCGGCCCGGCUCCCUCGCCACCUGUGAUGAGUGCGCGUCUGUCCCAUCCCAUACCUUUCUUCUCCCAAAAUCAAUAGCACUGUCAAUAGAUUUACAGAAUGGUAAACAAAUGCUCUAUCUUUUUUAAGACUCGAAACAAUCAUGGGACCGAGACUUAUUGCCGUGGCAGUUGAGGAGAGAAAUGGAUGCCUCACAUGGCCGUCCCUCUCGCAGUCAUUGGGACGAUCCAUGGGGGGAGGCCCUUGCAAGUAACGUGUUAUCACAACGCGAUGGGGACUCCAACUCGACGACCCGUGGAGCCUACGGUCGUGUACGUUCUGGUUACGAUGGCGCAGUUUGACACGGACGCCCCUGGCCACAACAAUGACCCCCCCAUGUUCCCUCUUGCUAUCUGGAUAGGUUCGAUCGUGAUUGUGUGGUGGUAGUACGUGCAUCCUCACAUGUACUGUAUGUGUACUGUGUAGUGUAGAGAUGUAUGUAUGAUCACAUAGCGCGGAGCCUGGAGGUGCUGGCGAAUUAGCGGUGCAUGGUUUUGAAAUGCAGGAGGCUCGAUUCUGCAAUGCUCGAUCGCAGUCUCUGGGGUGUUGCCAUUGGUGUCCCUUUCAGGUGGUUCGGAACUGAAUCCUCUCGUGUGGUGACCUGGCUGUGCUGACGGAAACGGUCGAGCCGACGGUCGCGAAAGACGUUGCUACUUGCUAUACAUAUGAUUUUCUCGAACUCGAUCUGAAUAUAACAUCUUCCACGCAUUUCAAGCUAACUACUACUCAUAACCGUCAGUUGGUUAACAACGGGCAUCGGAUCGGCCUCUCUUGGGAAAAAAAGGCCUACGCCUCAAUGGGUACGUGGCCGCAAUUGAACCUGGCAGCUGUCAGCUCCUGUUUGUUAAUCAAUGUGAUUGUUUGGUUUGACAUUGGUUGUUAGCUUGAUUAAUCCUAUUCCUACGUGCCAUGAUGAGGAGCAAUCAUCACCGACGUACAUCUAUACUACUACAUCGACGCGGAUCGAUGGACGGUGAGCCAACCUCCAUGAUUGACUGCAAACCGCAACAGUAACGCGGAACCCGCCCGCGACGAUCAUGAUUAAGGCGCGCAGGUCUGAAAACCAGCGGGAGCGGACGCACGCAUGACGCGACCCAUCUACAGCUUGGCUAGACUAGAUCCGUUGUCCGUAGCAUGCCAAGUGUGUGUGGUGUACAAACGACGAGAUUGCAUCACCAAACUAGGAUAUACCCUACGGCCGGGGUCGUUGAGCGACGAGCUAGCCGGUGACGUGCAUUCAUGAUUGAGCCUCCGAGACAAGAUGUUAAUUUACAGAUGAAGCCUCUCAGUGUGUGAAAUGAAUUCAACUGCUAAUUGGUUUCCUCUGCUCAUGAUUAAUAACUUAACAGACUUGUCAAUGCGCAGUCUUUGGCAGUUUGGCUUUCUUCAGGAGGGCUUGAAAACUAGCUAGCUUUGGGGCUUUGUAGAGUGCAUUGCAGGCCAUGUUUUGAGGAGGAAGUAAUAUGGGGCGGAUGCAGCUAGGCCCGUCGUAGCGGCCGUUUCUUUGUGUGCAAACCAAACCACUGCAUAAACAAACACGCAGACAGAUAAACAAUCCCGUGGAGCUGACGAGGAUAAUAGCUUUCUUCACAUGCACAAAAGCUAGAUCGCUGUAUUUCGCGUGCUGUGGGGCCGCGACGUCGAUCGCCCUGGCCCCACACGCCAGCCGCAUUUCUUCUCAGGUGUGGGCAGCCUAAAUACCUGAUGCCCACAUCAUGGCCCGAUUGGUUCGAUCUUAUCGUGACAACUCGCUCAGCUGGCUGCUUGGUAUCUAUGCUUGAGUAUGUGAUACACCAUGAGCACAGUGGCAAAGCGUGGUUAAGUCGGGCAGCUAGCUAGCUCUGCGGCUGUUCUUGUUUGCUUGCGUCUGAAACCCGGAAUACAUGCAGCCAAGUACGUGAGGUGUCCACGCUACGGACAAAAUGCAUGUGAUUGCGCUGCUUUUCAGGUCAAAAUUAUGCGUCCAAGCGUUUUCAUGUUGUGGGCUAUCUCAGUCUCGCCGGAGUUUGCGUUGAGAGCACUGUGUUCCGGGAUGGAUCUAGCGCGAAAUGCGAAUCGGACGCUUGUGUGCUAAGCUUAAAUAUGAAUCACCUAGGCUAGCUAAGUAGCCUAGCAAAGGUGCUGUGUUCCUUUGGAAUGAAGGAUGCAAUAUUUUACCACGUAGCACUGCUAGUUGGGUUGACCAAAUUAGCGCCCAUUUAUUCAGCAUGUAACCUUGCAGUAAACAAUGGGAUAGAUCGGCAAUAUAUUAGUAGAACGGUUUUUGAGAUCACAACAUUUUUUAAAGUAAUGCGAUCAACAUUGGCAUACACGGUGGACACGUACGCAUGGCUAAGUACGAAGCUCGUCGGUACCUGUACCACGAACUCUUGUUUAUUGGAGGUAACAUGUACUUCAUGUCAAAAGAAAGAGGUAACAUGUACUUGAUCGGUUGGGCGCAGUGCACAUAAUUAAAGAUCGGGAAAAACUUAAGAGGAAAAAAAGAGAGGUUUUGGUAGUGACGUACUCGUGAUGCUAGCAUGACGUCCCGGAGCCGCUGAUUUUUUUAAACGGAAAAAUUGGUCACGAUCAACGAAUUAUUUGGACGAGCGAGAAGGACGCGUGACAUCCAGUACACAGCUUGGGCUACCCAAACAAUGUCCGGCCGGGGCCACCGGAUCAGCGACCCCCGUCCACCGCUCGCGCACGGGCCGAUGGACCGUUCCUUCCACGCGUGCGAGCCGACGGAUCGCGCCUCGACGGUCCGGAUCAGGCCGACGCCGCUGCACGUCGAGGCUGGAGCCCUCUCCUCGGGAACGGAUCAGGCCCACACGUCGACGGGCCGACGCCCCAGAUGCGCCCACGCGUUGCCUCGGCCCGCCCGUAUGCGAGAGACGUGUUAGCUGCCGCCGGCCGUUGCGUGUCGCGCUCUGUGACUGUGCGUGUCGCGUUGCCUCCUGUGACUGUGCGUUGUCCCCCGGAGACACGCUCGGUCGUUUUCAGGGAGGUCACAUGCCGGGCUUAGCUGUGCGUCCGUCCAUCCGAGCCUGUGGUGUGCACUGGCUGCGCCGCGAUGCUGCCAGCUAUCGGCACCGGCGGCAGCGGCUGCCGCGCGUUUUCUCUUCCGUACUUGCGGGCGCGUCAUCGUCGACGCCGCUGCGCUGCGGGCUCGUCGUCGGCUUGCGCCGCUGCUUCCGCCGGGAAAGGGUGCCACCGGUCGCCGGUCGGCACGUGGGGUUUGCUUCGCGGGCGGGCGGGCGUCCGCGGAGCCGGGCUGGGUUUCCGGUUGUCUUGUGCGUCGGGACGGUGCUCGAUACAGUGGUGUGUAGUGUUCUGAACUUCUGAUGCGCAAGUGAUGGAAGAAACGAACGCCGUGGCGGUGGUUUGAUGGUGAUAGCUGGCUGCCGUGGACUAGCUUAGCGGUGGUCGCAAAGGUGACUGGAUUGCUCGUUAAAUUCCGGUACGGCUGAUUGGGUCUUAAUUCCGGGUUUGAAAGUGUUGGCCUACGUACGUUCGUUUUCUUAAUAUCGUGAAUCAAAUGCACUGAACGAGGAAUGGACCAGAGUAGACGGCCAGCUUCUUGUAUUGUAUCUGCGGCGGCUGUUUUUUUCAGGGAAUCUGCGGCUGCCGGCAAGGAGUAGAAUGCGGAGUCGCCAUGUCACAGUAUGACGUGGCGAGAAUGAAUAGAAACAAUAAUAAAGUGGUAGACGAGUAUUAGGCUAGUCAUAGUGGGAGUAACUUAGAUAAUAACAUAAUGCACUUUAUUUUUUUUGCCUAUGUGGCAUGUAGUUAAUGAGAGAAGAGGUGUUUAGGCUGGUCGUAAUAUGAUACUAGUGUAUGAUACUACUUCCGUAAUGCAUAGUAUCAUAAUUUAGUAUUUUAGGUUGUUUUAUUAAUUGACAUGCAUGACACAAAGUAGUACAACAUUUAAUAUGAUACGGUAUCAUGAUAUGAUACCACAUCCUUUCUUUCCUUAUUUAAGCGUGUGUCAUAUCAUCUAAAAAAUCUAGUUGGCAUGCAUGACACCGCUUAAGAUACUCCCAUUAUGACCGGCCUUAGAGUAACAUAAUAUGUUACUGUAACAUAGCGUUUUUCGAGAAAGGAUGAGUCUACAAGCUAAUAAAUGAAGUCAUCUACUCCCUUCGUUCUUAAAUAUAAGUCUUUUUUUAGAGAUUUCACUAUGGAUUAGAUAUGGAUCAAAAUGAGUGAAUCUACACUCUAAAAUAUGUCCAUAUAUAUCCGUAUGUAGUUUAUAGUGGAAUCUCUAAAAAGACUUACAUUUAGGAACGGAGGGAGUAUGACAUUACAACUAUGUUACUUUGCAUUAUGGGGGUAGUAAUUUAGACUAGUUUCAUAUGCAUGACACUAGUCUAAGUUACUCCUCACUAUGACCAGCCUUAGGGCAUCUCCAACCCGAACCUCAAACCCCGUAUCCGUCCCGACACAGUUUUCCAGACCCCGCAAGCUAUCCAACACCGACCGUCGGUCCGUACAGCGGUAUGGAUCAUAACUUAGUGUCCAGUGUCAGGUGUUCUUUUUUUGCUUGUUUUUGACUUUGCAGAAUAUCAGUACUAAACAAAGUUCAAAUGCCACAAACUUUUUAGAGAUUUUUUUUGUCAAUAAGAGACCCUGGAAGCUUCGAUAGGCCACAAGAAGACGAAGGAGUGGCCCACUAAGCACUAGGACGCGCCCUGGUGGUUAGUGGGGCCCACGGGCCUCCGUUUGACCUACCUCCGCAUCUAUAAAUACUCUAAAAUCUGGGAGUCUACCAGGGAGUCCACGAAAUACUUUUUCCACCGCCGCAAGUUCCAGAACCAUAAGAUCCCAUCUAGAGGCCUUUUCCAGCACUCUGCCAAAGGGGGAAACGAUCACAAAGAGGUUCUUCAUCAUCCUUGCUGCCCCUCCGAUGAUGGGUGAGUAGUUUACCACGAACAUAUGGAUCCAUAGUUACUAGCUAGAUGACUUCUUCUUUAUUUUUGAUCUUCAAUACAAUGUUCUCCUCGGUAUUCUUGGAGAUGUAUUUGAUGUGAUGACUUUUUGCGGUGUGUUUGUUGGGAUCCGAUGAACUGAUGAUCAGAUCUAUCCAUGAAUAUUAUUUGAGUUUUCUCUAAACUCUUUUAUGCAUGAUUGUUAUAGCCUCGUAUUUCUUCUUUGAUUUAUUGGUUUGGUUUGGCCAACUACAUUGAUUUAUCUUGCUAGGGGUGCAUUGUUAUGGGUUCGAUCUUGCGGUGCUCAAUCUCAGUGACAGAAAAAGACAUGACACGCAUGUAUCAUUGCUAUUAAGGGUAAUAAGAUGAGAUUUUAUUUCAUCUGUGAGUUUAUCUUGUCUACAUCAUGUCAUCUUGCUUAAGGCCUUACUCCGUUAUUUCAUGAACUUAAUACACUAGGUGGAUAGCGGUCGACGUAUGGAAUAAUAGUAGUAGAUGCAGAAUCGUUUUGAUCUACUUGUCUCAGACGUGAUACCUAUAUACAUGAUCAUUGCCUUGGAUAUUGUCAUAAUUAUUUGCUUUUCUGUCAAUUUCCCAACAGUAAUUUGUCUACCCACCGUAUGCUAUUUGUAUGAGAGAAGUCUCUAGUGAAAAAAUGUCCCCCGGGUCUAUUUUCUAUCAUAUAUUAAAACCAAAAAUAUCUUGCCGCAAUUUUAUUUUUAUCUAUCUAUCAAAAACUAUACUGUUUAACCUGCUCGUAACCAUUGAGGGAUUGACACCCCCUCUACGCGUGGGUUUGCUAGUAUUUGUUGUUUGUGCGUAGAUGCUGUUUAUAUAGUGUUGCUUGGUUCAUAUACUGGAUUGAUAACCUUGGUUACAUAACCGAGGAAAAUACUUAUCUCUACUGUACUGCAUCAUCCUCUCUUCUUUGAGAAAAUUCCAACACAACUCACAAGUAGCACCCCCAACAGAUCUGCUACAACCGCCAACUCUUCCACGCUUGCCGCCAAGGCCGCCACACCCUCAUUAGCGCGUACCGCCGCCAUUGCCGCGGGCUCCGGUGCGCGUAUGAGCCGCGUCUCCCCUGCGCCUUCCGUGAUGGAGAGGGUGGUUCGAGUUUCUGAGGACAUGUGUGAUGCGAAGGAUUUUGUGGAGGCGAGGCGAGGACAGAGGAGAGAAGAAGGCUAGAUUUGGGGGCUGCGAGAGGAAAGAGAUGAUAUUUAUGGUGUCCCUAACCCUUGCUGACAGUUGCUACAGUUGUUUCGUGUGCGAUUAUGUGUGUACAAAAAACUUUGAAAAUGCAAAUGAGUUGUUUAAGGUGGCUAGGAGCAUCACACAUGAUGCGUAAUGCGAGUACUCGUGUGUGAUGAUUUGUAAGUUACACAUACCUGUCCUUAUGUUAACACGUGUGUGAUAGCACGUGACACAACAUACGGUUGUGUGCUGGGAAUUGUGUGCACCACUUAGUCUUCCUGCGCUCCAGAGAAGAAUUCCCGCGUAGCCGCAUGGGUAAAUUGUAAAACCCUCAAUCCCCUAGCCAGCUGCUAGCCAUAAAUAAGCACAACAAUGGCCGGCAGCGUUGACUAACUACUGAUCCCCUUGCUAGCUAGUUACCCGCACAUACUGGCAUACCCAACGACUAACGACGGGAUGCAGUUGGGCGAUCACGAAGUCGAGGCUGGAGGCACGAUGGCCGGCUUGGCGGUCGACGGCAAUGCCGCCUCCUCUCCCAACAACGACCGGAGGAAGCAGUAUAUGCGGUACGAGUAAGCCGCCAGGUUAGCCCGGGUCGUCCUAAAAGCAAACAGGGAUCGCCAGCGGCGAUACUGCUGGCUCGGUGCAGAGUGCGGCAGAUGGUGCGGGUGGAGGAGCAGGAACUGCGAUGACACAAGGACAACUGCGGCAGUGGCGGCCGCCGCACGAUGCCCGGGCUUAUGUCCCUGAUACACCCAUUUUGCAUCAUGUUUUCCUAUUGUUAUUUAUGAUGUUUUUAUCCAUAAUAAUACUUUUUGGAGUAAUUCUAAUGCCUUUUCUCUCAUAAUAUGCAAGGUACACGCAAAUAGGGAGAAUUUCGGCAGCUGGAAAUCUUGACCUAGAAAAGCUGUGUCAGGCCACAUAUUCUGCACAACUCCAAACAAGCUAAAACUUCACGGAGAUUUUUAUCAAAUAUAUGAUGAAUUUUGGAGCAAAUAACUACCUAGAGGGGCCCCACCAGGUUGGCAAAACCCACCUGGGCGCGCCAGGGAGCCUAGGCGCGCCCUGGUGGGUUGCGCUCAGCUAGGCCCACCUCCGGUGCCCAUCUUAUGGUAUAUAAGUAAUUUUUACCUAUAAAAAAAUAAGGAGAGGACUUUCGGGACGGAGCGCCGCCGUCUCGAGGCAGAACUUGGGUAGAAGCACUUUUGCCCUCCGGCGAGGUGAUUCCGCCGGGGGGAACUUCCCUCCCGGAGGGGGAAAUCAUCGUCAUCAUCAUCACCGACAACUCUCCCAUCUCGGGGAGGACAAUCUCCAUCAACAUAUUCAACAACACCAUAUCCUCUCAAACCCUAGUUCAUCUCUUGUGCAAUCUUGUUACCGGAACUGUAGAUUGGUGCUUGUCGGUGACUAGUAGUGUUGAUUACAUCUUGUAGUUGAUUACUAUAUGGUUUAUUUGGUGGAAGAUUAUAUGUUCAGAUCCAAUAUGCUAUUUAAUACCCCUCUGAUCUUGAGCAUGAUUAUCAUUUGUGAGUAGUUACUUUUGUUCUUGAGGUCACAGGAGAAAUCAUGUUGCAAGUAAUCAUGUGAACUUGAUAUGUGUUCGAUAUUUUGAUAGUAUGUAUGUUGUGAUUCCCUUAGUGGUGUCAUGUGAACGUCGACUACAUGACACUUUACCAUAUUUGGGCCUAAGGGAAUGCAUUGUGGUUUAGCAAUUAGAUGAUGGGUUGCGAGAGUGACAGAAGCUUAAACCUCAGUUUAGGCGCUAUUCCGUAAGGGACCGAUUGGAUCCAAAAGUUUAAUGCCAUGGUUAGAAUUUAUUCUUAAUACUUUUCUCCUAGUGGCGGAUGCUUGCGAGAGGGUUAAUCAUAAGUAGGAGGUUUGUUCAAGUAAGAACAACACCUAAGCACCGGUCCACCCACAUAUCAAAUUAUCAAAUUGAAGGAAAUAUGCCCUAGAGGCAAUAAUAAAAGUUAUUAUUUAUUUCCUUAUAUCAUGAUAAAUGUUUAUUAUUCAUGCUAGAAUUGUAUUAACCGGAAACAUAAUACAUGUGUGAAUACAUAGACAAACAGAGUGUCACUAGUAUGCCUCUACUUGACUAGCUCGUUGAUCAAAGAUGGUUAUGUUUCCUGGCCAUAGACAUGAGUUAUCAUUUGAUUAACGGGAUCACAUCAUUAGGAGAAUGAUGUGAUUGACUUGACCCAUUCCGUUAGCUUAGCACUUGAUCAUUUAGUUUGUUGCUAUUGCUUUCUUCAUAACUUAUACAUGUUCCUAUGACUAUGAGAUUAUGCAACUCCCGUUUACCGGAGGAACACUUUGUGUGCUACCAAACGUCACAACGUAACUGGGUGAUUAUAAGGGUGCUCUAUAGGUGUCUCCAAAGGUACUUGUUGGGUUGGCGUAAUUUGAGAUUAGGAUUUGUCACUCCGAUUGUCAGAGAGGUAUCUCUGGGCCCUCUCGGUAAUACACAUCACUCAAGCCUUGCAAGCAUUGCAAGUAAUAAUUUAGUUGCGGGAUGAUGUAUUACGGAACGAGUAAAGAGACUUGCCGGUAACGAGAUUGAACUAGGUAUUGAUAUACCGACGAUCGAAUCUCGGGCAAGUAACAUACCGAUGACAAAGGGAACAACGUAUGUUGUUAUGCGGUCUGACCGAUAAAGAUCUUCGUAGAAUAUGUAGGAGCCAAUAUGAGCAUCCAGGUUCCGCUAUUGGUUAUUGACCGGAGACGUGUCUCGGUCAUGUCUACAUAGUUCUCGAACCCAUAGGGUCCGCAUGCUUAAAGUUCGGUGACGAUCGUAAUUAGGGUUUUUGUGUUUUGAUGUACCGAAGGUUGUUCGGAGUCCCGGAUGUGAUCACGGACAUGACAAGGAGUCUCGAAAUGGUCAAGACAUAAAGAUUGAUAUAUUGGAAGCCUAUAUUUGGAUACCGGAAACGUUCCGGGUGAAAUCGGGAUUUUACCGGAGUACCGGGGGGUUACCGGAACCCCCCCGGGGGUUAAUGGGCCUACAUGGGCCCUAAGGGAGAAGAGGAGGGCCGGCUAGGGCAGGCCGCGCGCCCCCUUCCCCCUAGUCUGAAUAGGACAAGGAGGGGGGGCACCCCCCUUUCCUCUUUCCCCCUUCCCCUUUCCUUCUCCAACAAGGCAAGAGGGGGCGUAGGACUCCUCCAGGCGCACCCCUAGGGCCGGCCGCACCUCCCCCUCUCCCUCCUUUAUAUACGGGGGCAAGGGGGCACCCCAGGACACACAAGUUGAUCUUUGUGAUCGUUCCUUAGCCGUGUGUGGUGCCCCCUUCCACCAUAUUCCGCCUCGGUCAUAUCGUAGCGGUGCUUAGGCGAAGCCCUGCGUCGGUAGAACAUCAUCACCGUCAUCACACCAUCGUGUUGACGAAACUCUCCCUCAACACUCGGCUGGAUCGGAGCUCGAGGGACGUUGCCGAGUUGAACGUGUGCAGAACUCGGAGGUGCCGUACGUUCAGUACUUGGAUCGGUCGGAUCAGGAAGACGUACGACUACUUCCUCUAUGUUGUGUCAACGCUUCCGUUGCCGGUCUACGAGGGUACGUAGACAACACUCUCCCCUCUCAUUGCUAUGCAUCACCAUGAUCUUGCGUGUGCGUAGGAAUUUUUUGAAAUUACUACGUUCCCCAACAGUGGCAUCCGAGCCAGGUUUUAUGCGUUGAUGUUAUGCAUGAGUAGAACACAAGUGAGAUGUGGGCGAUAUAAGUCAUACUGCUUACCAACAUGUCAUACUUUGGUUCGGCGGUAUUGUUGGAUGAAGCGGCCCGGACCAACAUUACGCGUACGCUUACGCGAGUCUGGUUCUACCGACGUGCUUUGCACACAGGUGGCUGGCGGGUGUCAGUUUCUCCAACUUUAGUUGAACUGAGUGUGGCUACGCCCGAUCCUUGUGAAGGUUAAAACAGCACCAACUUGACAAACUAUCGUUGUGGUUUUGAUGCGUAGGUAAGAACGGUUCUUGCUAAGCCCGUAGCAGCCACGUAAAACUUGCAACAACAAAGUAGAGGACGUCUAACUUGUUUUUGCAGGGCAUGUUGUGAUGUGAUAUGGUCAAGACAUGAUGCUAAAAUUUAUUGUAUGAGAUGAUCAUGUUUUGUAACCGAGUUAUCAGCAACUGGCAGGAGCCAUAUGGUUGUCGUUUUAUUGUAUGCAAUGCAAUAGCGCUGUAAUGCUUUACUUUAUCACUAAGCGGUAGCGAUAGUCGUGGAAGCAUAAGAUUGGCGAGACGACAACGAUGCUACGAUGGAUAUCAAGGUGUCGCGCCGGUGACGAUGGUGAUCAUAACGAUACUUCGGAGAUGGAGAUCACAAGUACAAGCCAUAUCAUAUCACUUAUAUUGAUUGCAUGUGAUCUUUAUCUUUUAUGCAUCUUAUCUUGCUUUGAUUGACGGUAGCAUUAUAAGAUGAUCCCUCACUAAAUUAUCAAAGUAUAAGUGUUCUCCCUGAGUAUGCACCAUUACGAAAGUUCUUCGUGCUGAGACACCAUGUGAUGAUCGGGUGUGAUAGGCUCUACGUUCAAAUACAACGGGUGCAAAACAGUUGCACACGCGGAAUACUCAGGUUAAACUUGACGAGCCUAGCAUAUAAUAGAUAUGGCCUCGGAACACGGAGACCGAAAGGUCGAGCGUGAAUCAUAUAGUAGAUAUGAUCAACAUAGUGAUGUUCACCAUUGAUACUACUCCAUCUCACGUGAUGAUCGGACAUGGUUUAGUUGAUUUGGAUCACGUAAUCACUUAGAGGAUUAGAGGGAUAUCUUUCUAAGUGGGAGUUCUUAAGUAAUAUGAUUAAAUGAACUUAAAUUUAUCAUGAACUUAGUACCUGAUAGUAUCUUGCUUGUUUAUGUUUGAUUGUAGAUAGAUGGCCCGUGUUGUUGUUCCGUUGAAUUUUAAUGCGUUCCUUGAGAAAGCAAAGUUGAAAGAUGAUGGUAGCAAUUACACGGACUGGGUUCGUAACUUGAGGAUUAUCCUCAUUGUUGCACAGAAGAAUUACGUCCUGGAAGCACCGCUAAGUGCCAAGCCUGCUGCAGGAGCAACACUAGAUGUUAUGAACGUCUGGCAGAGCAAAGCUGAUGACUACUCGAUAGUUCAGUGUGCCAUGAUUUAUGGCUUAGAACCGGGUCUUCAACGACGUUUUGAACGUCAUGGAGCAUAUGAGAUGUUUCAGGAGUUGAAGUUAAUAUUUCAAGCAAAUGCCCGGAUUGAGAGAUAUGAAGUCUCCAAUAAGUUCUAUAGCUGCAAGAUGGAGGAGAAUAGUUCUGUCAGUGAACAUAUACUCAAAAUGUCUGGGUAUCAUAAUCACUUGACUCAACUGGGAGUUAAUCUUCCUGUUGAUAGUGUCAUUGACAGAGUUCUUCAAUCACUGCCACCAAGCUACAAAAGCUUCGUGAUGAACUAUAAUAUGCAAGGGAUGAAUAAGACUAUUCCCGAGCUCUUCACGAUGCUAAAAGCCGCGGAGGUAGAAAUCAAGAAGGAGCAUCAAGUGUUGAUGGUCAAUAAGACCACCAGUUUCAAGAAAAAGGGCAAAGGGAAGAAGAAGGGGAACUUCAAAAAGAAUAGCAAACAAGUUGCUGCUCAGGAGAAGAAACCCAAGUCUGGACCUAAGCCUGAGACUGAGUGCUUCUAUUGCAAGCAGACUGGUCACUGGAAACAGAACUGCCCCAAGUAUUUGGCGGAUAAGAAGGAUGGCAAAGUGAACAAAGGUAUAUGUGAUAUACAUGUUAUUGAUGUGUACCUUACUAAUGCUCAUAGUAGCAUCUGGGUAUUUGAUACUGGUUCUGUUGCUAACAUUUGCAACUCGAAACAGGGGCUAUGGAUUAAGCGAAGAUUGGCUAAGGACGAGGUGACGAUGUGCGUGGGAAAUGGUUCCAAAGUCGAUGUGAUCGCGGUCGGCACGCUACCUCUACAUCUACCUUCGGGAUUAGUAUUAGACCUAAAUAAUUGUUAUUUGGUGCCAGCGUUGAGCAUGAACAUUAUAUCUGGAUCUUGUUUGAUGCGAGACGGUUAUUCAUUUAAAUCACAGAAUAAUGGUUGUUCUAUUUAUAUGAGUAAUAUCUUUUAUGAUCAUGCACCCUUGAAGAGUGGUCUAUUUUUUAUGAAUCUCGAUAGUAGUGAUACACAUAUUCAUAAUGUUGAAACCAAAAGAUGCAGAGUUGAUAAUGAUAGUGCAACUUAUUUGUGGCACUGCCGUUUAGGUCAUAUCGGUGUAAAGUGCAUGAAGAAACUCCAUAUUGAUGGACUUUUGGAACCACUUGAUUAUGAAUCACUUGGUACUUGCGAACCGUGCCUCAUGGGCAAGAUGACUAAAACUCCGUUCUCCGGUACUAUGGAGAGAGCAGCAGAUUUGUUGGAAAUCAUACAUACAGAUGUAUGUGGUCCAAUGAAUGUUGAGGCUCGUGGCAGAUAUCGUUAUUUUCUCACCUUCACAGAUAAUUUAAGAAGAUAUGGGUAUAUCUACUUAAUGAAGCAUAAGUCUGAAACAUUUGAAAAGUUCAAAGAAUUUCAGAGUGAAGUUGAAAAUCAUCGUAACAAGAAAAUAAAGUUUCUACGAUCUGAUCAUGGAGGAGAAUAUUUGAGUUACGAGUUUGGUCUACAUUUGAAACAAAGCGGAAUAGUUUCGCAACUCAUGCCACCCGGAACACCACAGCGUAAUGGUGUGUCCGAACAUCGUAAUCGUACUUUACUAGAUAUGGUGCGAUCUAUGAUGUCUCUUACAGAUUUACUGCUAUCGUUUUGGGGUUAUGCUUUAGAUACGGCCGCAUUCACGUUAAAUAGGGCACCAUCAAAAUCCGUUGAGACGACGCCUUAUGAACUGUGGUUUGGCAAGAAACCAAAGUUGUCGUUUCUGAAAGUUUGGGGCUGCGAUGCUUAUGUGAAAAAGCUUCAACCUGAUAAGCUCGAACCCAAAUCGGAGAAAUGUGUCUUCAUAGGAUACCCAAAGGAGACUGUUGGGUACACCUUCUAUCACAGAUCCGAAGGCAAGACUUUUGUUGCUAAAUUCGGAGUUUUUCUAGAGAAGGAGUUUCUCUCGAAAGAAGUGAGUGGGAGGAAAGUAGAACUAGAUGAGGUAACUGUACCUGCUCCCUUAUUGGAAAGUAGUACAUCACAGAAACCGGUUUCUGUGACACCUAUACCAAUUAGUUAAGAAGCUAAUGAUAAUGAUCAUGAAACUUCAGAUCAAGUUACUACCGAACCUCAUAGAUCAACCAGAGUAAGAUCCGCACUAGAGUGUUACGGUAAUCCUGUUCUGGAAGUCAUGCUACUAGAUCAUGAUGAACCUACGAACUAUGAAGAAGCGAUGGUGAGCCCAGAUUCCGCAAAAUGGCUAGAAGCCAUGAAAUCUGAGAUGGGAUCCAUGUAUGAGAACAAAGUGUGGACUUUGGUUGACUUGCCCGUUGAUCGGCAAGCAAUUGAGAAUAAAUGGAUCUUCAAGAAGAAGACUGACGCUGACGGUAAUGUUACUGUCUACAAAGCUCGACUUGUUGCGAAAGGUUUUCGACAAGUUCAAGGGAUUGACUACGAUGAGACCUUCUCACCCGUAGCGAUGCUUAAGUCUGUCCGAAUCAUGUUAGCGAUUGCCGCAUUUUAUGCUUAUGAAAUUUGGCGGAUGGAUGUCAAAACUGCAUUCCUGAAUGGAUUUCUGGAAGAAGAGUUGUAUAUGAUGCAACUAGAAGGUUUUGUCGAUCCAAAGGGAGCUAACAAAGUGUGCAAGUUCCAGCGAUCCAUUUAUGGACUGGUGCAAGCCUCUCGGAGUUGGAAUAAAUGCUUUGAUAGUGUGAUCAAAGCAUUUGGUUUUGUACAGACUUUUGGAGAAGCCUGUAUUUACAAGAAAGUGAGUGGGAGCUUUAUAGCAUUUUUAAUAUUAUAUGUGGAUGACAUAUUAUUGAUUGGAAAUGAUAUAGAAUUUCUGGAUAGCAUAAAGGGAUACUUGAAUGAGAGUUUUUCAAUGAAAGACCUCGGUGAAGCUGCUUACAUAUUGGGCAUUAAGAUCUAUAGAGAUAGAUCAAGACGCUUAAUUGGACUUUCACAAAGCACAUACCUUGACAAAAUUUUGAAGAAGUUCAAAAUGGAUCAAGCAAAGAAAGGGUUCUUGCCUGAAGAAGUUGAGUAAGACUCAAUGUCCAACCACUGCAUAAGAUAGAGAGAAAAUGAAAGAUGUUCCCUAUGCUUCAGCCAUGGGCUCUAUCAUGUAUGCAAUGCUGUGUAGCAGACCUGAUGUGUGCCUUGCUAUAAGUCUAGCAGGGAGGUACCAAAGUAAUCUAGGAGUGGAUCACUGGACAGCAGUCAAGAACAUCCUGAAGCACCUGAAAAGGACUAAGGAUAUGUUUCUCAUAUAUGGAGGUGACAAAGAGCUCAUCGUAAAUGGUUACGUUGAUGCAAGCUUUGACACUGAUCCAGACGAUUCUAAAUCGCAAACCGGAUACGUGUUUACAUUGAACGGUGGAGCUGUCAGUUGGUGCAGUUCUAAACAAAGCGUCAUGGCGGGAUCUACAUGUGAAGCGGAGUACAUAGCGCUUCGGAAGCAGCAAAUGAAGGAGUCUGGAUGAAGGAGUUCAUAUCCGAUCUAGGUGUCAUACCUAGUGCAUCGGGUCCAAUGAAAAUCUUUUGUGACAAUACUGGUGCAAUUGCCUUGGCAAAGGAAUCCAGAUUUCACAAGACAACCAAGCACAUCAAGAGAUGCUUCAAUUCCAUUCGGGAUUUAGUCCAAGUGGGAGACAUAGAAAUUUGCAAGAAACAUACGGAUCUGAAUGUUGCAGACCCACUGACUAAGCCUCUUCCACGAGCAAAACAUGAUCAGCACCAAGGCUCCAUGCGUGUUAGAAUCAUUACUAUGUAAUCUAGAUUAUUGACUCUAGUGCAAGUGGGAGACUGAAGGAAAUAUGCCCUAGAGGCAAUAAUAAAAGUUAUUAUUUAUUUCCGUAUAUCAUGAUAAAUGUUUAUUAUUCAUGCUAGAAUUGUAUUAACCGGAAACAUAAUACAUGUGUGAAUACAUAGACAAACAGAGUGUCACUAAUAUGCCUCUACUUUACUAGCUCGUUGAUCAAAGAUGUUUAUGUUUCCUAGCCAUAGACAUGAGUUUUCAUUUGAUUAACGAGAUCACAUCAUUAGGAGAAUGAUGUGAUUGACUUGACCCAUUCCGUUAGCUUAGCACUUGAUCAUUUCGUUUGUUGCUAUUGCUUUCUUCAUAACUUAUACAUGUUCCUAUGACUAUGAGAUUAUGCAACUCCCGUUUACCGGAGGAACACUUUGUGUGCUACCAAAUGUCACAACGUAACUGGGUGAUUAUAAAGGUGCUCUACAGGUGUCUCCAAAGGUACUUGUUGGGUUGGCGUAUUUCGAGAUUAGGAUUUGUCACUCCGAUUAUCGGAGAGGUAUCUCUGGGCCCUCUCGAUAAUACACAUCACUCAAGCCUUGCAAGCAUUGCAACUAAUAAGUUAGUUGCGGGAUGAUGUAUUACGGAACGAGUAAAGAGACUUGCCGGUAAUGAGAUUGAACUAGGUAUUGAUAUACCGGCGAUCGAAUCUCGGGCAAGUAACAUACCGAUGACAAAGGGAACAAUGUAUGUUGUUAUGCGGUCUGACCGAUAAAGAUCUUCGUAGAAUAUGUAGGAGCCAAUAUGAGCAUCCAGGUUCCGCUAUUUGUUAUUGACCGGAGACGUGUCUCGGUCAUGUCUACAUAGUUCUCGAACCCGUAGGGUCCGCACGCUUAAAGUUCGAUGACGAUCGUAAUUAGGGUUUUUGUGUUUUGAUGUACCGAAGGUUGUUCGGAGUCCCAAAUGUUAUCACGGACAUGACGAGGAAUCUCGAAAUGGUCGAGACAUAAAGAUUGAUAUAUUGGAAGCCUAUAUUUGGAUAUCGGAAACGUUCCGGGUGAAAUCGGGAUUUUACCGGAGUACCGGGGGGUUACCGGAACCCCCCCCCCGGGGGUUAAUGGGCCUACAUGGGCCCUAAGGGAGAAGAGGAGGGCCGGCUAGGGCAGGUCGCGCGCCCCCUUCCCCCUAGUCUGAAUAGGACAAGGAGGGGGGCACCCCCCUUUCCUCUUUCCCCCUUCCGCUUUCCUUCUCCAACAAGGCAAGAGGGGGGGAGUCCUACUCCCGGUGGGAGUAGGACUCCUCCAGGCGCACCCCUAGGGCCGGCCGCACCUCCCCCUCUCCCUCCUUUAUAUACGGGGGCAAGGGGGCACCCCACGACACACAAGUUGAUCUUCGUGAUCAUUCCUUAGCCGUGUGCAGUGCCCCCUUCCACCAUAUUCCACCUCGGUCAUAUCGUAGCGGUGCUUAGGCGAAGCCCUGCGUCAGUAGAACAUCAUCACCGUCAUCACACUGUCGUGUUGAAGAAACUCUCCCUCAACACUCGGCUAGAUCGGAGCUCGAGGCACGUCACCGAGUUGAACGUGUGCAGAACUCGGAGGUGCCGUACGUUCGGUACUUGGAUCGGUCGGAUCAGGAAGACGUACGACUACUUCCUCUAUGUUGUGUCAACGCUUUCGUUGCCGGUCUACGAGGGUACGUAGACAACACUCUCCCCUCUCGUUGCUAUGCAUCACCAUGAUCUUGCGUGUGUGUAGGAUUUUUUUUGAAAUUACUACGUUCCCCAACACAAAGUACAGAACACGAAUUAAGCCAACAUGAUGAAAGUGACUAGAUGAAAUUCCAGUGUACCCUCAAGAACGCUUUGCUUACUAAAGAGACCAUUUUGGCCUGUCAUUUGCCUCCAAAGGAUUGGGCUACCUUGCUACACUUUUGUUACUACUAUCGUCACUUGCUUGUUACAAAUUAUCUUGCUAUCAAACUACUCUGCUACUUACAAUUUCAGCACUUGCAGACAUUACCUUGCUGAAAACCACUUGUCAUUUCCUUCUGCUCCUUGUUGGGUUCGACACUCUUACUUAUCGAAAAGAGCUACAAUUUAUCCCCUAUACUUGUGGGUCAUCAAGGCUAUUUUAUGGUGCCGUUGCCGGGGAGUGAAGCGCCUUUGGUAAGGAAACAUUUAUAUAGUGUGCUGAAAUUUAUUGUUACUUGUUACUAUGGAAAACAAUCCUUUGAGGGGUUUGUUCGGGGUAUCUUCACCUUGACCGGAACCACAAUUAGAUACCCCUCAACCUACUGAAAAUAUUGAAUAUGAAAUUCCUUCGGGUAUGAUAGAACAACUGCUAGCUAAUCCUUAUGCAGGAAAUGGAACCAAACAUCCUGAUAUGCACUUGAUAUAUGUAGAACAAAUUUGUGGAUUGUUCAAGCUUGCAGGUUUACCUGGAGAUGAAGUUAUAAAAAAGGUUUUCUCUUUAUCUUUGAAGGGAAAAGUAUUGGCAUGGUAUAGGCUAUGCGAUGAUAUUGGAUCUUGGAAUUGGAAUCGUUCGAAAUUGGAGUUCCAUCAAAAAAUUUAUCCGAUGCAUCCAGAUCAUCGUGAUCGGAAUUAUAUAUAUAAUUUUUGGCCUCGCGAAGGAGAAAGUAUCGCUCUAGCUUGGGGGAGGCUUAAUUCAAUGUUACAUUCAUGCCCCAAUCAUGAGCUCUCAAGAGAAAUUAUUAUCGAGAACUUUUAUGCUCGGCUUUCUCGUAAUGAUCAAACCAUGCUCGAUACCUCUUGUGCUGGUUCUUUUAUGAAGAAGACUAUUGAAUUCCGGUGGGAUCUUUUGGAAAGAAUUAAAUAUAACUCUGAAAAUUGGGAACUCGACGAAGGUAAAGAGUCAGGUAUUAAAAUUAAGUAUGAUUGUGUUAAAUCUUUUUUGGAUGCCGAUGCUUUUCAAAAGUUUAGCACUAAAUAUGGACUUGAUUCUGAGUGAAUUAUUUUCUACUCAUGUUGAUCACCGUAAAGAGAAGUGGUUUAAAUAUGACCCACCUAUUAAAGAAGAAAUUAAAGAAUCAGUGCCAGUUAAAGAAGAAACUAUACUUUAUAAUGUUGAUCCAGUUGUUCCUUCUGCUCAUAUUGAGAAACCACAUUUCUCUGUUAGGAUAAAGGAACGCGCUAGAGUUUCAACUGCGGUAAACAAAAGCUAUAUUAGAACACCUAAACCUGAUGAACAAAUUAAAGUAGAACCUAGUAUUUCUAUGGUUAAAGAUCUCUUGGAAGAAGAUGUAGAUGGGCAUGUUAUUUACUUCUGUGAAGAAGCUGCUAGAAUUGCCAAACCUAAUAAAAAGGAUAAACAUAGACCUGUCGCUGGCAUGCCCGUCGUCUCAAUUAAAAUAGGAGAUAAUUGUUAUCAUGGUUUAUGUGACAUAGGUGCUAGUGUGAGUGCUAUUCCUCACACUUUAUAUCAAGAUAUUAUGAAUGACAUAGCAGCCGCAGAGACAGAAGACAUAGAUGUUACUAUUAAACUUGCUAAUAGAGACACUAUCUCACCAAUUGGGAUUGUUAGAGAUGUUGAAGUUUUGUGUGGGAAAAUAAAAUACCCUACCGAUUUUCUUGUUCUUGGUUCCCCACAAGACGACUUUUGUCCCAUUAUCUUUGGUAGACCUUUCUUGAACACCGUUAAUGCUAGAAUAGAUUGUAAGAAACAAACUAUCUGUGUUAGUUUUGGUGAUGAGUCUCAUGAGUUUAAUUUUUCCAAGUUUAGUAGAAAGCUUCAUGAAAAAGAAUUGCCUAGUAAAGAUGAAUCAAUUGGUCUUACUUCUGUUGUUGUGCCUCCUACUGAUCCACUAGAACAAUAUUUGCUAGACCAUGAAAAUAAUUUACAUAUGCAUGAAAGAAAUGAAAUAGAUAAGAUUUUCUUUUAACAACGUCCUCUACUUAAACACAAUUUGCCUAUUGAAACUCUAGGAGGUCCUCCUCCACCUAAAGGUGGCCCUGUGUUUGAAUUAAAACAAUUGCCAGACACUUUGAAAUAUGCUUAUCUUGAUGAAAAGAAGAUAUAUCCUGUUAUUAUUAGUGCUAACCUUUCAGUACAUGAAGAAGAAAGAUUAUUGAAAGUUCUAAGGAAGCACCGAGCUGCUAUUGGAUAUACUCUUGAUGAUUUAAAGGGCAUUAGUCACACUCUAUGUUAGCACAAAAUUAAUAUGGAACCCGAUGCUAAACCCGUUGUUGAUCACCAACGUUGGUUAAAUCCAAAAAUAAAGGAAGUGGUAAGAACGGAAAUAUUAAAACUUCUGGAAGCAGGUAUAAUCUAUCCUAUAGCUGAUAGUAGAUGGGUAAGUCUUGUUCAUUGUGUCCCUAAGAAAGGAGGUAUAACUGUUGUUCCUAAUGAUAAGAGUGAACUUAUUCCACAAAGAAUUGUUACAGGCUAUAGAAUGAUAAUUGAUUUUAGAAAAUUAAACAAAGCAACUAGAAAAGAUCAUUACCCUCUGCCUUUUAUUGAUCAAAUGCUUGAAAGAUUGUCUAAGCACACACAUUUUUGCUUCCUUGAUGGAUACUCUGGUUUUUCACAAAUACCUUUUUCUCAACGUGAUCAAGAAAAUACCACUUUUACUUGUCCCUUUGGAACCUAUGCUUAUAGACGUAUGCCUUUUGGUUUAUGUAAUGCACCUACUACUUUUCAAAGAUGUAUGACUGCUAUAUUCUCUGACUUUUGUGAAAAGAUUGUUGAGGUUUUCAUGGAUGACUUCUGUGUUUAUGGGAAGUCUUUUGAUGAUUGUUUAAGCAAUCUUGAUCGAGUUUUGCAGAGAUGUGAACAAACAAAUCUUGUCUUGAAUUGGGAGAAGUGCCACUUUAUGGUUAAUGAAGGCAUUGUCUUGGGUCAUACAAUUUCUGAAAGAGGUAUUGAAGUGGAUAAAGCAAAGCUUGAUGCAAUUGAGAAAAUGCCAUGUCCUAAAGAUAUAAAAGGUAUCCAUAGUUUCUUAGGUCAUGCUGGUUUCUAUAGGAGAUUUAUCAAAGACUUUUCUAAAAUUUCUAGGCCUCUUACGAAUCUUUUGCAAAAGGAUAUUCCUUUUUUUAUGAUGAUUGUUUAGAAGCCUUUGAAACACUCAAGAAAGCCUUAAUUUAUGCACCUAUUGUUCAACCACCUAAUUGGAACUUGCCUUUUGAAAUCAUAUGUGAUGCUAGUGAUUAUGCUGUUGGUGAUGGUCUAGGACAAAUAAUUGAUAAGAAACUAAAUGUUAUUCAUUAUGCUAGUAAAACUCUAGACAGUUCUAAACGAAACUAUGCUACUACUGAAAAAGAAUUCUUAGCAGUGGUGUUUGCUUGUGAUAAAUUUAGACCUUAUAUUGUUGAUUCCAAAGUAAUAGUUCACACCGAUCAUGCUGCUAUUAAAUAUCUUAUGGAAAAGAAAGAUGCUAAACCUAGACUUAUUCGGUGGGUUAUCUUGUUAGAAGAAUUUGAUUUACAUAUGAUUGAUAGAAAAGGAGCUGAGAACCCCGUAUCUGAUAAUUUAUCUAGGCUUGAAAAUGUGCCUGAUGACCCACUACCUAUUGAUGAUAGUUUUCCUGAUGAGCAGUUAGCUGCAAUAAAUAUUGCUCAUAGUACUCCUUGGUAUGCUGACUAUGCUAAUUACAUUGUUGCUAAAUAUUUACCACCUAGCUUUACAUAUCAACAAAAGAAAAAAAAAUCUUCUAUGAUUUAAGACAUUACUUUUGGGAUGACCCACAUCUUUAUAAGUAAGGAGUGGAUGGUAUUAUUAGACGUUGUGUACCUGAGCAUGAACAGGGACAAAUCCUACGGAAAUGUCACUCUGAAGCUUAUGGAGGGCAUCAUGCUGGGGAUAGAAAUGCUCACAAGGUAUUGCAAUCUGGAUUUUAUUGGCCUACGCUCUUCAAGGAUGCCUGUAAGUUCGUCUUAUCUUGUGAUGAAUGUCAAAGAAUAGGUAAUAUCGGUAAGCGUCAAGAAAUGCCUAUGAAUUAUUCACUUGUUGUUGAACCAUUUGAUGUUUGGGGAUUUGAUUACAUGGGACCUUUUCCUUCCUCUAACGGGUACAUGUUGGGGAGCAUAGUAAUUCAAAAAAUUUCCUACAAUCACGCAAGAUCUAUCUAGGAGAUGCAUAGCAACGAGAUGGGAGAGUGUGUCCAUGUACCCUCGUAUACCGAAAGCGGAAGCAUUUUGUAACGCGGUUGAUGUAGUCGAACGUCUUCACGGUCCAACCGAUCCAAGUACCGAACGUACGACACCUCCGUGUUCAACACACAUUCAACACGAUGAUGUACCUCGAGCUCUUGAUCCAGUAGAGGGUCGAGGGAGAGUUUUGUCAGCAUGACGGUGUGGUGACGGUGUUGAUGAUGUGAUCAGCGCAGGGCUUCGCCUAAGCACUACGAUAAUAUGACCGAGGUGGUAAACUGUGGAGGGGGGCACCGCACACGGCUAAGACAAUUGAUGUUAUCCCUUUGGGGUGCCCUUUGCCCACGUAUAUAAAGGAGGGGGAGGAGGAGGCCAGCCAAGGGGGAGGCGCGCCAAAGGGGGGGGUCCUACUAGGACUCUAAACCUAGUAGGAUUCGCCCCCCUUUCCUUCCAACGGAGAGGGGUAAAGGGGAAAGGAGAGAGAGGGUGAAGGAAAGAGGGGGGUCGCGCCCCUCCCCUUGUCCAAUUCAGAUUAGGUCAAGGGGGGUGCGCCCCACCUCCUGUGGCGUGCCUCCUCUCCUCCACUGGCCCAAUAACUUUCCCGGGGGGUUCCAGUAACCUCCCGGUACUCCAAAAAAUCCCCGAUCUUCUUUGGAACCAUUCCGGUGUCCGUAUAUAACCUUCCAAUAUAUCAAUAUUUACCUCUCGACCAUUUCGAGAUUCCUCAUCAUGUCUGUAAUCUCAUCUAGGACUCCAAACAAGCUUAGGUCAUCAAAACACAUAACUCAUAAUACAAAUCGUCAUCGAACGUUAAGCACGUGGAUCCUACGGGUUCGAGAACUAUGUAGACAUGACCGAGACACAUCUCCGGUCAAUAACCAAUAGCGGAACCUGGAUGCUCAUAUUGGCUCCUACAUAUUCUAUGAAGAUCUUUAUCGGUCAAACUGCAUAACAACAUACGUUAUUCCCUUUGUCAUCGGUAUUUUACUUGCCCGAGAUUCGAUCGUCGGUAUCAUCAUACCUAGUUCAAUCUCGUUACCGGCAAGUCUCUUUACUCGUUCCGUAAUGCAUUAUCCUGCAACUAACUCAUUAGUCACAUUUCUUGCAAGGCUUAUAGUGAUGUGCAUUACCGAGAUGGCCCAGAGAUACCUCUCCGAUACAUGGAGUGACAGAUCCUAAUCUCGAUCUAUGCCAACUCAACAAACACCUUCAGAGACACCUGUAGAGCAUCUUUAUAAUCAUCUAGUUACGUUGUGAUGUUUGAUAGCACACAAGGUGUUCCUCUGGUAUUCGGGAGUUGCAUAAUCUCAUAGUCAGAGGAAUAUGUAUAAGUCCUGAAGAAAGCAAUAGCAAUAAAACUAGACUGUAACAUCCCAAAUAUCCAAUUUGAAAUGUUAUACAUUAGAUCAUCAUGCAUAUCAUGUUUUAUUUUGCAUUUUGGUUGAUCCUAGAAAUUCUACGCAACUCAAUGACCCACGGAGAGAGUUGGGGAUUUCAUUAUUUUCAUAUUUGAGUUUUCUCAAAUUUUGAGAAUAGGAUUAUUUGAUUUUAUUUAUUUUAUCAUCAAUUAUUUUUACUACAAACAUAUGAGAGAGGGAAUAAAAUGACUUUCCCAAAAUAAAGAAAUAUUGAGGAUUUAAUAAUAAAAUCAAAUAAGAUUUUAUUUCGGAGUUUUUUGGUGUUUUAUUUGAAUUUAGGAAAAAUGUGCGUUUUUCAAAAUUGCAUUUAGGUCCCAAAUAAAUGUUCACCUUGUGCACCCUGAUUUUAGAAGCCCGUGAAAAUUUAUUUCGGAAUUUUUGGAGUCCGUUUAGUAUUUCUUUUUAUUUUUCUUCCGAGCGAAAUUAUUAAAAAAACGAACCGACCUAGGGGCCGUGUCCGACUAGGACUCCCGGCCCGUUAGGCUUUAUAAGCCAGCCCACCCUGGCCGAACCCUAGCCCCAGCCCCAGCCCCAGCCCUGCCGCCGCCGCCGCGCCUCGCCACCCGUGCCGUCGCCGCCGCCCGCCGGAUUCCGCCGCCCGAGGUUCGCCGCCGCCUCGUUUUCCGUGCCACCAUUUUUUUUUCGAAAAACCGUCGGGUUUCGUCGGUUUUUCCGGUUUAUUUAAAUAGUGAGUGUUCGUCCGUUCGUUCGUUCUAGCGAACGUUCGUCCUUUUUCUUUUUCUCGGAUUAAAUCCGCGAUUUUUUUGAUCGCGAUUCCUGAUUCGAUUUUCGUUUUAGUAUAACUUUUCGCUCGUUUAUCGGAAUCAGGCAAUUCAAGCGCCCAGAGUUUCGUCU